UACGUAGGGUGCAAGCGUUAAUCGGAAUUACUGGGCGUAAAGCGUGCGCAGGCGGUUCUAUAAGACAGAUGUGAAAUCCCCGGGCUCAACCUGGGAACUGCAUUUGUGACUGUAGAGCUGGAGUACGGCAGAGGGGAUGGAAUUCCGCGUGUAGCAGUGAAAUGCGUAGAUAUGCGGAGGAACACCGAUGGCGAAGGCAAUCCCUGGGCCUGUACUGACGCUCAUGCACGAAAGCGUGGGGAGCAAACAGG
rnacentral:rRNA from 1 species